GACAUACUUCCUCCGUUCCGAAUUACUUGUCGCGGGUAUGGAUGUAUCUAGAUGUAUUUUAGUUCUAGAUACAUCCAUUUUUGCGACGAGUAAUUUGGAACGGAGGGAGUACAUC
rnacentral:pre_miRNA from 1 species